GAUGAACGCUGGCGGCGCGCCUAACACAUGCAAGUCGAACGAUUAAAGCACCUUCGGGUGUGUAUAAAGUGGCGAACGGCUGAGUAACACGUGGGCAACCUGCCCCUUUCAUUGGGAUAGCCACGGGAAACCGUGGAUAAUACCGAAUACUUCGAGACUUCCGCAUGGAAGACUCGAGAAAGCUCCGGCGGAGAGGGAUGGGCCCGCGGCCUGUUAGCUUGUUGGUGGGGUAACGGCCUACCAAGGCAAUGAUGGGUAGCUGGGUUGAGAGACCGACCAGCCAGAUUGGGACUGAGACACGGCCCAGACGCCUACGGGAGGCAGCAGUGGGGAAUCUUGCACAAUGGGCGAAAGCCUGAUGCAGCGACGCCGCGUGCGGGAUGAAGGCCUUCGGGUUGUAAACCGCUUUCAGCAGGGACGAGGCGAAAGUGACGGUACCUGCAGAAGAAGCCCCGGCUAACUACGU
rnacentral:rRNA from 1 species